rnacentral:snoRNA from 1 species
AUGCAUCUAUUUGUCAGAACUGGAACACAUACUGUCUGCUGCUAAUGUUUCCAUUAAAGAUGCAAGAAAAAGAUAUCCUUGUACUAUCUGUUUGUCUGACUGUGACAGUCAAAACUGAAUGGGGGAAAACAGAA